UGAUAUGCAUUUAAUCUGCAGUGGUCCCUGGUUCCACAAGUGAUUAUCAGACAGAAAUCACGGGCUAAAUUACAAUCAGAAACUAAAUUUGUUACACAUUGACGGAUCCCAUUUAAGCAACUGACCCUAAGAGAAGUCCCUAGCCAUAAAGCUAGCAAAAUUGGCCUGACAGCUUAAAAUAUUUAUAAGAUUCUUUCAAAAUAGAAACCCUACUUGAAAAGGACCAUUACUUGUCCAUUUUCCCUUUUAUCAUGCCCAUUUCACGUUGAUUUAGUUCCAAAUUAGGGUUCUUUCGAUGAGGUUAAGCUCUUACACAACGUGCGAAUAGCUUUCAGUGCUAAAAGGGUUGGGAAUUCAAGUAGCAAAAAUCCAAUCCGUGAUGAUCCCUUUCUAUUUUUCCAAAAGAGAGAAGAUUAUAGCUGUACGACAGUGUAUAUCCAUGUGUGAUGACAUCUUCUACCAAGCCUUUGCCAGCAGAAUAAGGUUGGAGGAUAAUGCCCCAAUAUAAGCAAGGGCUUCCCAUGAAAAAAGGGGAGCAAAACUGAGAAGACCGCUCAUGUUACAUGAUAUAUGGAAACCAAGGAAACUGCAGUUCGGGUGAGAGAUGGGUGAGCUGGAUUUAUUACACAAAGUGUACUUAAGGUUAAGGGUGACAUAUGUAAGAGCCUCUGACACACUUGCAUGCCGUCUUGAAGAAAAAACCCCACAGAAAACAGAUGCCACAUGCCCGUCAAACUCAAAGAUGUGCCGCCCCUUCUUGUUGAAUACCGCUCGUCUGCGUGGACCCAACUCAAUAUUCAAUGUUCAUCUUUUUUGGCCUGGACUAUGAACUGUAAAAAAAAUUGAAGAUUUUUGUUUCAAAUUUCCUGUGAUCUAGCCUUGCCAUUGGGACGAUCAGCACUCCUCAUGGACCUAUGUAUCUCUCCCACAUACCCUCUCUCACACAUACCUAAAUCUCUUUUGUCCUACUGGGUGUGGAAGUAUUCAUCCCACAAAAAACAAAGAAGAGCGUGCUGGGCUGGGAAGGCUGAGGAGAACGGAAAGGAAAGUUUUCUGCAGGAAGACUUUUGAAUGCGCUUCCAAGGAGAGUAGAUUUCAAGGAGUCCAUGUCAUGGCGUGGUCCAGCUGCUUCCUAAUCAUAAAUACGGUUAAGACACCUUCGAGAUGGGCCAGGCGGAGAAACCAGACAAAACAACACUCCCAUGUGCAACCCAGAUACCAGAUCGAUUUUGUUUUUGUGCUCGAAAAGCAACCUCGUCAAAUUAUCAUAUCAAUUCUAGCUUAAUACGCUUUUUGCACUUACUCGGCAUCUGUCUAUGAUCUUCGAAUCUACAAUGCCAAGCCAUAAAUUCGUAGAUGAUUUCGGAGGAAAGUAGUUGAAGACUAGCUCUAGCCUUUCAAUCAAAUCAUAAUAAUAAUACUCAAGCCAAAUAUCACAAUACCUGGAACAGUUACAAGAGCCAUCAGGAAAUUUGGCACAUUCUUGAAAAUGUUUCUAAGCACAGAUUCAAGUUAUUUUGAAAUCCGAAUUAUUAGUAGAUUCUCACUAA